UACGAAGGGUGCAAGCGUUACUCGGAAUUACUGGGCGUAAAGCGUGCGUAGGUGGUUUGUUAAGUCUGAUGUGAAAGCCCCGGGCUCAACCUGGGAAUGGCAUUGGAUACUGGCAAUCUAGAGUGCGGUAGAGGGUAGCGGAAUUCCCGGUGUAGCAGUGAAAUGCGUAGAUAUCGGGAGGAACAUCCGUGGCGAAGGCGGCUACCUGGACCAGCACUGACACUGAGGCACGAAAGCGUGGGGAGCAAACAGG
rnacentral:rRNA from 1 species